rnacentral:rRNA from 1 species
UACGUAGGGGGCUAGCGUUGUCCGGAAUCAUUGGGCGUAAAGCGCGUGUAGGCGGUCCGGUAAGUCCGCUGUGAAAGUCGGGGGCUCAACCCUCGGAUGCCGGUGGAUACUGUCGGGCUUGAGUACGGAAGAGGCGAGUGGAAUUCCUGGUGUAGCGGUGAAAUGCGCAGAUAUCAGGAGGAACACCAAUUGCGAAGGCGGCUCUCUGGGACGGUACUGACACUGAGACGCGAAAGCGUGGGGAGCGAACAGG